rnacentral:lncRNA from 1 species
GAAGGGUCUGGUGACUUCAACCCCAGGCCCCGGGGCACACGGCUCAGAGCUCACGCACACCACCAGGGCCACUGGCUGCUUGGAGUUUAUUUUCCACUUGGUGCAAGGCACACAGUUCCAGGGUGUCGGGAAGGCUCGCGUGCGGCUUGGACAGUAAAGAGUGGGAUUCUCUCAACUUCCUUUUUGGUGUUGUGCUAUUUUGAUACAAAAGAACCCAACAGCUUGUGCUCGCCGCAGCCUGCCUGGUCCCUAGGGCAGGGCGGGAGGGGAGGGGAGGGGAGGGGAGGGGAGGGAGGGGGUGAGCCAGGCCCCCCGACGAGCCGGGCGCCUCGGAAGCCUCGGAAGCCUCGGAAGCCUCGGAAGCGGUGCUGGCGCUCAGGACGGCGGCCCGGGGUCGGCUUGGCCAGGCUGGCGCCCGGGCUGCUUCCUCGCGGCUCGCAGGGCCGAGUCGCCGGUGCCGGCGCCGCCGGAGGCCUGGGGAGGCUGCGGGCUGGGGGAGAGCCUGGCUCAGAGGCGCCCGCCCGCCCCCCGCCCGCCCGCGCCCGGCCGAGCACUCACCGCGCCGGCGACUGCAGCACGGUGGCCGUGGACGCGAGCGCGGACCUCCCGGAGAAGAAGCCGGCCCACCAGGGGCCCGCGGCGGCCGUGGGGGGCCUGCCCUCGCCGGGGCGCUGCGGGGCGGCCUCCCCCGCGCAGUCGGCGCCGCCGCACGCGCUGUUACCGGACGCGGAGCCCAGGCGGCCUGCGGGGGGGGCCGGGUCAGCCUGCGCCGCGCCGCGCCGCGCCGCGCCGGGCCGGGCCGCACGGGGCGGGGGCGAGGCCGUACUCACGCCGGUAGUAGUCGUGCGUGGCCACGAGCGAGCCGCCGGACGGGAUGGCCGCCAUGACGCCGCCGCCGCCGCCCGCGCCGGGCCCCGGAGCUCCCGGCCGGCCGCCCCGCCCCCACCUCGGCGGCGCCCCCUCGCGGACCUCGGCGCGCGGGCACAGGUGGCGGGGACGGGGGCGCCGGGCCACGGACGCCGCGGGCACCGGAGACCGCGACGGCCGCGCCGCCUGCGCAUGCGCGGGCGCACCCGCUGGGCUCGCGCCCCGGACGGAGGGUGCCCCGCCCCCGGCCCGCGAGGCCCCGCCCCCGACCCGCGAGGCCCCGCCCCUCUCUGA